CCCAGUUAAUGGUAGGGCCCUGGGGAGAGUUGUUGAAUCGAGAGACCUAAGGGUGCAGCUGCGUAAUUCCUUGAAACUGGCAUCACAGGUCGACAGAAUGGUUAGGAAGGAGUUUGAGUGCAGACCCUCCGGUUUGUGUUCACUGGUGAAUAAACACGGAGCUGACUACCUCCUGAGCAAAGAGAGCUGCAGGUUCGAGCUGGUGGGAAUCUAAAAAAAAAGUGAAUAAUACAGAAACUUCAACUGUCACCACAUUCCAGUGCCAUUGUGAACAAUUUAACAAGAAUAAAGAGAUAUAAUGGAAAGGGAGUCUAUCCUUGUUCCACUGCUUACGCCCUGAGCCCGCUCUCCAAUGUAGGGAUUGCCAUCUUUUGAUCACUGGCCUACCUCGCCAGGGUGUGUCCUGGACCCACACUCACCCAGGAGACCACCGGCACCAGGCCCUCUACAACCAGGAGACCCCAGCUCCACGCCCAUCACAACCAGGAGCCUCCCAGCCCCAGGCCCACUACAACCAGGAGACCCCCAGCUCCAGGCCCUCUACAACCACGAGCCUCCCAGCUCCAGGCCCUCUACAACCAGGAGACCCCAACUCCACGCCCACUACAACCACGAGCCUCCCAGCCCCAGGCCCUCUACAACCAGGAGACCCCCAGCACCAGGCCCACUACAACUAGGAGACCCCCAGCCCCAGGCCCACCACAACCACGAGCCUCCCAGCUUCAGGCCCUCUACAACCACGAGCCUCCCAGCUCCAGGCCCACUACAACCAGGAGACC